rnacentral:rRNA from 1 species
AUUGAACGCUGGCGGCAGGCCUAACACAUGCAAGUCGAGCGAGCGGCGGACGGGUGAGUAAUGUAUGGGGAUCUGCCCGAUGGAGGGGGAUAACUACGGGAAACUGUAGCUAAUACCGCGUACCAUAGGAUGAGCCCAGGUGGGAUUAGGUAGUGGGUGGGGUAAAGGCUCACCAAGCCGCCGAUCUCUAGCUGGUCUGAGAGGAUGACCAGCCACACUGGGACUGAGACACGGCCCAGACUCCUACGGGAGGCAGCAGUGGGGAAUAGUGCGCAAUGGGCGCAAGCCUGAUGCAGCCAUGCCGCGUGUAUGAAGAAGGCCUUCGGGUUGUAAAGUACUUUCAGCGAGGAGGCGUUACUCGCAGAAGAAGCACCGGCUAACUCCGUGCCAGCAGCCGCGGUAAUAC